UGGACGGCAGCUGAGUAUAACUUUUUACACAGAACUUGCUCUGGUGAGCUGAGGAAAUUGUGAGAAAAGACGCAGAAAACCCAUCAGGAGGGGCAGAGAGAGAAGAGCAAAUAGGACCAGAAGGGGCAAGUAAAAACAGAUCUCUCCAGCGCCUCCAAAUCCUUCUUGUAAAAUCAAGAUCCAAAAAGCUCUAUCCCCCCCCCCCACCCCCAAAGAGCCAGGAGCCACUGCAGAUCAAGGAGCCCGUGCAGAUAUGGCUGUAACCUGCACACGUUUUACAGAUGAAUACCAGCUAUAUGAAGAAAUUGGCAAGGGAGCAUUUUCAGUGGUUAGACGCUGUGUGAAGCUCUGUACGGGACACGAAUAUGCAGCAAAGAUCAUAAACACUAAGAAGUUGUCGGCGCGAG